AUAUCACACUUAUAUGUUUCUAUGUUCUCUCCUUCAAAUGCACAUAUCCUCCACUUUCUCAUGUUCUUUCUUCCUACUCCACAUUUGCUUCUAUGUUUACUCACUCACUUAAAUAUAUAUAUUUUUAAAAGGUAUGAUUUUCCUUAGCACUUCAUUUCAAUUUAUUGCUUUAACUUCAUCAUCCUUAAAUAUAUAUUUUUAAAAGGUAUGAUUUUCAUCAUAACUUUCUCAUUCUUGAUUUUUCAUUCAUUUUUUUGUUGAAAAUGACUCCUUUACAAUUGGUUUCAUGAGUAAUGACUUAGUCUCUCACCACUAAUUUUCAAUAUUUCCUUUUAAAUUUACGGGUUAUUACAUAUACUUUAUUCAUUAUGAGGUUUACUGGAUUUUCAUUUCUCUACCAUUUCCUUUGUCAUUUUGUGGUUUACUUGAUAAAUAAUUUGCAUCUUUUUAAAAAGGAGGUUAUAUUUGAAUGUUAUAUGAUUAAAGUCUAUACCAAAAUUGGAGGAUUACC
rnacentral:lncRNA from 1 species